UCGGCAGAGCGCGCUAGUGUCGUAGUCUUUGGACCUGUCUCCCAGCAAGGCGAGCUGUAACCUUUGACCCUGCACCUGUUUACACUAUUGCCGCUGUCGGCCAUUAUUGCCAGAAUCACGAUAAGUUCGGAAUUUGUUAAGUUAAUAAAUGUGCGUUUAGCUUAUGUUUGGUUGUUGUAUGGCGAUUGUAAUAAUUCUCCAGUGUCAUCCCAAAUUCGGAGCAUCUUUUCUGCGUAGCCAACGAUGUUAACUGCAAAGCAACGAAGGGCCUGCGCCAAGUGUGGACAUAGCAGCAGUAAAUCAACCCGGUCUUUCCAUCGAAUUCCUAAACCAGGAGGAGCCAAUACGGAAAAAUGCCUGGGAGUCUGAAUCUGAUCUACUGGCCCUGUACAAGAAGUCGAGAGUUGUUUGAAAUUGUAAAAUUUGAAAACUGUAAAAAAUUGUAAAACUGUAAACAAUUGUAAAAUAUGUAUAUUUAAUUUAUGAAACAUUAAAUGCGUACCUCACUCGUAAAGUAAUUUGUAACAAUGAACUGACAAUACUAUGUUCAGCUCUUAUGUAUUUCUUUCUUUUGCAAAAUAUCUUUUUAUAUAAAUUUUACAUGCACUCUAAA